UUUUAGAGGACUCACCCAGGUUGUAGAAGGAGGAGACCCUGACCAGCUUCAGAGAAGACCCGAGACCUGACCCGAGACCUGUCCCGAGGCUGCAAGCUGUGCAGUUUCAGCUGUGCUGUUCCCUGAGUUGCUGCCUGAGCUGAUGUGGGCUCUGCAGGGAGGCAGCUGCUGUGAAUCCAUCCCAGCUCCUUUCUAGGAAAUGGCCCGGUGUGGAGUUCAUGGCAGUGUCUAAUUGGAGAAGCACCUUGACUGGACAGGAGCCAGUCUGGCCCAUCUGGAUCAGGGAAAAUACACUUCAUGCCAUGUGCCCCUGGCAUGGUCCUGGGGCCUGGGAGAGAGCAGCCUGUGGUCCUGGGCUAUCAGAAGACCCAUCAGGCCUCAAGCAGACACGAUGAGCGUUGGCCCCGAGGUGGCAAAAGAGAGGGCCAAGAGAUACAGAAAUCGUGGCGGGGGAAGGAGGCUUGCAAAAGGCGCC